AGGAAAUGCAGUGUACAUGUCAACAGGUAUCAAGUCUUGUUGUAUUUAUCUUCUGGAACAUACUGGGAUUUAAGACCCUGUCCUAACAACAGAAGAAAAACAAACAAAAACAGAUUUGCUGCUGUUCAAAACCUUGAAUUUUAUUUUCAACAUUUUCAGACAGUUCUUUUUGCUCAAUGGGAAGUAUCUGUGAUGAUUAGCAGCACUGGCUUUUUGUAAUUCCCGAGGGUAACUUGUCACCUGCUUCUAUGCUCGUUGGUUUUAUUUUCAUAAUAGAAGACUGUGAGGCAACAUCGUGGAUAAUCCUGGGAUUUCUUUGAGAAAAACAGUUGAGAUCAGAAAUACAACAAUCACAUCCAUGUAAACACUGUCAAAAUUUUGGCAGAUCAGCUCUGCAACAGGUUGAGAAACUUGUCCUUGUGUAAUGCAAGCAAAAUACUUCAGAAGGAACUUAAACCCCAUGAGAUUUCCCAACCUAAAUGCUUUGCUGAAUCAGUGCACCACCUGCACUGGUAGCUUGUUGAAAUGCUUAGUAUUUCAGUCAUCCAGACAAGAUAAUGUAGAAGCAGAUCAUUUCAACAUUGAUGGUGUUUUAAGAACCUGCUUUCAAUAACCAUUCUGGUAUAGAAUGAGUGCAAUCAUUUAUUUACUUGGUGGGUUAUUCUGAUCCACAUAAAGUGGGACAUCUGUAUUCCCUUUGAUCACAUCAGUGUUACAUUGACAACUAACUUUUGAUAAUUCAAAAUCCUUUUGGAAUAGCUAC